AGAGUUUGAUCCUGGCUCAGAAUGAACGCUGGCGGCGUGCUUAACACAUGCAAGUCGAACGCGAAAGUCCUUCGGGAUGAGUAAAGUGGCGAACGGGUGCAUAACGCGUAGGAAUCUACCCUUGGGUGAAGGAUACCCUAGAGAAAUUUAGGCUAAUACUGCAUAAGCCGGGAAACCGGGAAAGUGGCCUCUUGCUACCGCACAAGGAUGAGCCUGCGUACUAUUAGUUAGUUGGUGAGGUAAAGGCUCACCAAGACGAAGAUGGUUAGCUGGCCUGAGAGGGUGUACAGCCACAAUGGGACUGAGAUACGGCCCAUACUCCUACGGGAGGCAGCAGUGGGGAAUAUUGCACAAUGGGCGAAAGCCUGAUGCAGCGACGCCGCGUGGAGGAUGACGGUUUUCGGAUUGUAAACUCCUGUUAAGUGGAAGAAAGAACACGGGUUAAUACCCCGUGGAGAUGACGGUACCACUAGAGAAAGCACCGGCUAACUCCGUGCCAGCAGCCGCGGUAAUAC
rnacentral:rRNA from 1 species